rnacentral:rRNA from 1 species
GACGAACGCUGGCGGCGUGCUUAACACAUGCAAGUCGAGCGGGGUCCAUCCAGUAGCAAUACUGGUGAAGACCUAGCGGCGAACGGGUGAGUAACACGUGAGCAACCUGCCCCGAAGUCUGGGAUAACACCGGGAAACCGGUGCUAAUACCGGAUGUCCUCACCGAGUCACCUGGCUUGAUGAGGAAAGAUUUAUCGCUUCGGGAGGGGCUCGCGGCCUAUCAGCUUGNGGCGGGGUAACGGCCCACCAAGGCUUCGACGGGUAGCUGGUCUGAGAGGACGACCAGCCACACUGGGACUGAGACACGGCCCAGACUCCUACGGGAGGCAGCAGUGGGGAAUCUUGCGCAAUGGGCGAAAGCCUGACGCAGCAACGCCGCGU